AUCUAAUAAUGCAAUGGUGAUGUAAACAGAGAUGUAACUUAUCUAAGAUAAAAGUAUCUGAAAUACAGAUACAAGAUACAAAAUACGUAUUUUCAUCUUGUAACUAAAUACCUUUUUUAAAAAUUCAUUUUGUAUCUUGUAUUUAAAUACCUUUUG